GUUAAUGAAUAUCCUAGCCAGCCGAUGAGGGAUCCCAAGUGCUUGCUCGCAGAAAAGCUGUUUCCAUGUUUAAAAUGCAUAGAGAGUAAGAGCUGGGUAAGACGGGUGCCAGCCGCCGCGGUAAUACCUGCAGCUCGAGUGGUGACCGCUAUUAUUGGGCCUAAAACGUCCGUAGCCGGUUUAAUAAAUGCCUGGGUAAAUCGUGUAGCUUAACUAUACGAAUUCCGGGUAGACUGUUAAACUUGAGACCGGGAGAAGCUAGAGGUACUCCUGGGGUAGAGGUGAAAUUCUGUAAUCCUAGGGGGACCACCAGUGGCGAAGGCGUCUAGCUAGAACGGGUCUGACGGUGAGGGACGAAGCCCUGGGGCGCGAACCGGAUUAGAUACCCGGGUAGUCCAGGGUGUAAACGCUGCUUGCUUGAUGUUAGUUGGGCUCUGAGCCCAAUUAGUGUCGGAGAGAAGUUGUUAAACAAGCUGCCUGGAAAGUACGAUCGCAAGGUUGAAACUUAAAGGAAUUGGCGGGGGAGCACAGCAACGGGGGGGAGCGUGCGGUUUAAUUGGAUUCAACGCCGGAAAACUCACCGGAGGCGACGGUUACAUGAAGGCCAGGCUGAUGACCUUGCUUGAUUUUCCGAGAGGUGGUGCAUGGCCCCGCCAGUUCUUACCGUAGGGCGUUCUGUUAGUCAGAUAACGAACGAGACCUCAUCUUUAAUUGCACUUUAAGUCGCUAAUAGGCCUUUAAAGAAACGCUGGCAUAAUCAAAGAAGCGAGGCACGUAGGUCAUAUGCCUGAAUCUCGGGUAAACGCGCGCUAAAAGCUAGGCAAUGGCCUGACACGAAAGGUGAAGAUAAUCUCGAACUAGCAUAGUUCGGAUUGAGGUUGAACUCACCUCAUGAGCUGGAAUCUGAGUAUGCGAUCACUCCGCGGUGAAAUGCCUGCUCUUGCAAACGAGGCGAUUCGUUUAACUGAGACUGUCUUAGGAGGUAAUCUGAGCUGCAUCUGCAGUGUGUUUCAGAAUCUUCAAGAUUACCAUGAGCGUUAAUCAUUAG
rnacentral:rRNA from 1 species